UACGAAGGGGGCUAGCGUUGUUCGGAAUUACUGGGCGUAAAGCGCGCGCAGGCGGUCCUUCAAGUCAGAGGUGAAAGCCCAGAGCUCAACUCUGGAAUGGCCUUUGAGACUAGAGGACUUGGGGUACGGGAGAGGUGAGUGGAAUUCCGAGUGUAGAGGUGAAAUUCGUAGAUAUUCGGAAGAACACCAGUGGCGAAGGCGGCUCACUGGCCCGCUACCGACGCUCAGGCG
rnacentral:rRNA from 1 species